rnacentral:lncRNA from 1 species
UGAACUCCAACCUAUGUUGCUCCUAUUCUUCUAGUCCCUUCGCCCCUUUGCUGCUAUUCUUCUUCUCUUCCUGAAUCUGUUUGCUGCUUCCUUGUUCUCUGAAGUCUAAAUCCCCUACUCCUGCUGUUCUCUUUCAACCUCUCUCUCUCACACACCCUCCCAUUUUCUGAAUUUUCUGUAAGCUAUGCUCUGUAAUGUUCAUAUUUGAGUAGUGCUUGAAACUUGUUCAGUUUCAAACUUGUGCUUGAUUAAUAGUACUUAUGUUGUUCAUCUCAGAGUACUAGAAUUAUGUCUUGUAACCUCCCCCUGUUUGCAUAUGUGUGAUGUGUGUUUUGUAGUCCCUAUGUUAAUUACGUUCAUGUGAAAAUAUAUAUGUUUGUGUUGUGAUAUAUUUCUGUCUCUGUCAUAGUACUCUUUCUUCCCCUUAGUUACUUGUAUGAUAGUAAUAUAUGUGUUCAUGUCCCGUCGCUUCCCUUUAUGUUAGUGUUUUAGUGUCUCUAGUAAAACAAAAAUACCAAAAAUACAGUGAGUUUCAAUCCUAAUCUCUCCAUGCUGUUUGUCAUUUUAUUUUGUCAUCAUCCUUGAUUAUUUUAGGUUUAUAUUUUCUUGCGAUCAUCACCCUAAUUGUGUUAUCUAGCUUAGUCGAGCAUAGUUGCCGUUGCCUAGUCCCUGAGGAGUACACGACACUCGCAGUUUGGGCAUAAAACCCCACUAUACUUACAUUUGAUCAUUUUGGCGCCAUUGCCGGGGACUAGCGUCGAACGAUUGUGUGAAGCUAUAGACUAGGCUUAGUAUAGUUUUUGUUUAAAUUUCCAGUCAAAUUUAUUUCUGUGCUUCUUUUACCUUUUUACUUUUUGUUGCUUCGGCUUAUUAGGAUACUAACUUUCUGACUAGUGUUUACUGUUUAUGAGUGUGCGUAGGAAAUGUGAACUAAUUGCAGGUUGUUCUAUAGUUACACUCAGUUAAGAUGGCAUUGCUUCGUGAUCUUUGGAUGCCCAAAAGUCAGUGCUAUAUCACAUGACCGGUUUGGCCAACUAUUGAGGUAGAGAACUUCGAGCUGAAACCUAGUCUUAUUGCUUUGGUUCAACAAUGUCAGUUUGGAGGACGACCUACUGAGGAUCCCUAUGAGCACUUACACCGAGUCAUGGAGUAUUCAGAUACAGUCAAGUACCACGGAGUUCCUCAAGACGUAAUCAUGUGCAGGUUGUUUACAUUCUCUCUCUGUGAUGAUGCUCGUGCUUGGUACCGAUCCUUGCCAUCAAGGUCAUACAGUUGGAUUGAGAUAUCACAAGCAUUCUUGGAUAAAUAUUUCCCACUACACAAGCAAUCAGCGUUUCGAGAUGACAUCUUCAACUUUGUUCAGCGUGAAGGCGAGAGUUUGUAUGAUGCUUGGGAUAGGUACAAAGCCUUGUUCAGGAGAUGUCCUAAUCAUGGGCUCGAGAGAUGGUUAGAGCUGCAGAUAUUCUAUAGAGGAUUGACUUCGGACACUUGCGGUUACAUUGAUAUGGCAGCGGGUGGAGCUAUUAAAACAAGACACUUCAUGAUGCUUUUCUGCUGAUUGAGAGCAUAGCUUUCCACCAACUUCAGUGGUACAAUAAGAAGCCCACGUCUGAUUCAUUGGUUUGCUUGCAACAAAUCACUUCAUCUCAACAAGAAUCUCUUACACAAAAGCCGGAACCAGUUUCUCCGUGUGACAAGAUUGAGCUUGCAUGGAUUAUCUUUGAUGAUGAUGACACCAUCUUAGUUGACACACACACUUCAGAUCAUAUGGAUACUAGCAUUCUAGAUUCAGUUUUGCAUUGUGAUGAUUCUUCUGUGGAUGAACCAGAGCUAUAGUUAGUUACUUUUGAUAUUGAGGAGACACCUUUAGUUGAUAUUGAUCAUGUGCUGCUAGAGCCAGAUAUGGAAAAGUUCGCCUUCGAUGAUGUUAGUUGCAUUGAUUCCUCAACACUUGAGCCUGAGAUGGAGAGCUUCAUGGUUGAUUAUGGUGAGGUGGGUUUAGAUGUCAAGGAGCCAAGCUCUACUAUUUCACUUGUUGCCACGAGUCCGGUGGAAAUUUCUACUACCACACCUCACUUGGUAUCGUCAAUUGAGGUAGUCCUGAAGCUUCUUCCUAACUAUCUUAGGUAUGAUCGCAACUUUCUCAACAAGAUAUGUCAUAUCGCUGAUAUUGCCUAUGCACCAUGUGACUUGUUGUUGAUACACGUUCCUGAUUUGCUCACUAGAUAUACUUAUAUGAUAGGGUACUCUAUUGAUGACUUAGAGGGCAUUCUCUCUGUCACUUGUAUUGGCUUGGUUGUUGAGUGUUCUUUCAGGUUGAUGCUUGUGCACCAUUUACUGCGAGUUGACCGAGUUCGAGAUGACAUUCCCUGGGAUCCUAGUGGAUUCAUGGCACGGUGAUGAGGAGAAGAAAUGGGCACACGCGAAGAAGAGUGAAGCUGGAGCAUGCACGAGGAAGCAAUGGAGAAGAUCUGCAACUUAGAGAGUGAUCAAGCGAGUGUUACUUCUUAGUGCUCGGUGAGUUGUUUCAUGACCCAUUCUGAACAUCAUAAAUACAUGCUGAAUUAAAUUGCUAGUUGGGUUGCUUGAGCCAGUUAUUACUUAUUGUCAAGCUGAAAUUCACCUUUGGCAUCGUGCUUGUUGUGAAUUUGUGGACUUGAUUUCUGAAUGCCUUGUAAACUAGUGAUCUACACCAUGCAUGCUUGGCUGAAAUUAGUGAGAACUAUUAGUUUUGAGUGCUCAAAUCCCUAGUACACUAGAAAACUUCGUCAUUUUCUGCAUUUACUAUGAUACACCUAGAUCACCAUGUUAGAUGCUGAAUUUGUGCGAAGUAUGUUCCUAUAAAGAGCAAUCACCUAACCACCAUGGAUUAGCAUGCUAUGUUCCCUGGAUCGGUAGCAUGUGAACCAGAUAUGGUUGAGUGAUGAUUCUUAUUUUUGUUCAAAAAAUUAUAUCUUAUAAUGAAUGAAUAAGUCUGACUACCUACAGUAGCAUGUCAUGUUCCCUGGAUCGGUGGCAUGUGAAAUCGGGUUAGCUCGGGCAGUAAUUGCUAAUAAAAUUGUAAUUGUCGAACCAGGUGUAUAUCAUGUUCUCUGGAUCGGUGGUAUGUUCCUUUGGGGAGACAAACAAAAAAACUAACUAAUAAUUGGUUGAGCCAGGUGUAUACCAUGUUCUCGGGAUCGGUGGUAUGUUCCUUUGGUGAGAUCGACAAAAUAUUAUCAUUACUUUCUUCAAAUACAAUAAGUGCUUUCAACUACAAUGUUUUUUCCUGGUAAUAAGUGAUCUGAUCACAAGUUUAAGUUCUUUUUGUUUUUGGGAUCAUGCUCUCUUUAGGAACCUUUUGGCACAAUCAGCAUUUGAACUUGCUAAUCCUCUUUUAUCAUUGUAAAAGUUUAAAAUUGUCAUGCUUACUAGUAUCCUACUGCUUUGUAGCACUCUUAACCAUUGAUUUUCACUAGCAAAGUUCAAAGCAUGCUUUGUUUGGAGAUCUACUUCACUUGGCAUUCCCUAGUCAGCUCACUGUUCACAAUCUUGCUCUUGUCAUAUUCCUUUGCUUGAGGACAAGCAAAGAUUUAAGUGUGGGGGAACUUGAUAAGCACAUUUCAUAUACAUAAUUUUGGCACAUAUAUACACCAUUUAUAUGUUCAUCCAUUAUUACUAUGAACUGUGAUAUAUUUGGAUGAAAAUCAUAUAAAAGAUCAUUUACUCGUCAUUUGUUUCUUCUGCAAAAAAGUGCGCAAAGGCACUAUAAACCUCAAGAUUCCGACUAAGAGGCCGAAGAAUACAAGACAAGGAUGGGAAAGAAAGAAGGGGGACCUGAGCAUGAAGGAAAGAAGAAAUCGAGGGCCAAACUAGAGAAGGGAAGGGAUGUGCUUGUGAAGAAAGAAGGGAGCAGGAGGGCCAAAUCAAAAAGUGGAAAAUCUGAUCGUGGAAUCAAAUCCCUAGCGCUAGCCACCGAUCCCCUUCGGGCCUGGCACACAUCUCUCUCUCUCUCACCCCUCCUUCUCCACCACCGGCCGCGGCCGCGGCCAGGCCGGCGUGGCGGCGCGCCACCACGCCACCAGCACACCCACCACACGCCACCAAAUCCAUCCACCAUCGCCACCAUCUCCAGCCACCUCCACUCCUCGCGCGCCUGACCAGACAAGAGGGUCACGGGCGUCUGGUCCUCCGCGUGAGCGCCCCCGUGCUGCUGAUCUUCUUCUUCUCCUACGCCUUGUUGCUGCUCCCUCUUUCCUUGCCUCGCCGCUUCUCUUCCUUUCUCUGAACCCUACCGAUGCUGCUCCCUCUUCUCCCUCAAUGCCUACAGCUGCUGCUUCUUCCCCAAAACUGCUGCUGCACCCCUGCCUUUUGCUGCCGCUCCUCUCCUCUCAUUGCACUACUAUUGCUGCUCCUCCUCAACGCUCCCUGCUGCCUCUCUUACUUCUCUGAACUCCAACCUAUGCUGCUCCUAUUCUUCUACUCCCUUUGCCCCUUUGCUGCUGUUCUUCUUCUCUUCCUGAAUCUGUUUGUUGCUUCCUUCUUCUCUGAAGUCUAAAUCCCCUACAACUGUUGUUCUCUUUCAACCUCUCUCUCUCUCACACACCCUCCCAUUUUCUGAAUUUUCUGUAAGCUAAGUUGUGUAAUGCUCUGUAAUGUUCAGAUUUGAGUAGUGCUCGAAACUUGUUCAGUUUCAGACUUGUGCUUGAUUAAUAGUACUUAUGUUGUUCAUCUCAGAGUACUAGAAUUAUGUCUUGUAACCUCCCCCAGUUUGCAUAUGUGUGAUGUGUGUUUUGUAGUCCCUAUGUUAAUUACGUUCAUGUGAAAAUAUAUAUGUUUGUGUUGUGAUAUAU